rnacentral:rRNA from 1 species
CCUACGGGAGGCAGCAGUGAGGAAUAUUGGUCAAUGGCCGAGAGGCUGAACCAGCCAAGUCGCGUGAGGGAAGACGGCCCUACGGGUUGUAAACCUCUUUUGUCGGGGAGCAAAGCGCACCGCGUGUGGUUCAUUGAGCGUACCCUACGAAAAAGCAUCGGCUAACUCCGUUACAGCAGCCGCGGUAAUACGGAGGAUGCGAGCGUUAUCCGGAUUUAUUGGGUUUAAAGGGUGCGCAGGCGGAGGUGCAAGUCAGCGGUCAAAUUGCGGGGCUCAACCCCGUACUGCCGUUGAAACUGCAUCCCUUGAGUGCGCGAGAAGUAUGCGGAAUGCGUGGUGUAGCGGUGAAAUGCAUAGAUAUCACGCAGAACUCCGAUUGCGAAGGCAGCAUACCGGCGCGCAACUGACGCUCAUGCACGAAAGCGUGGGUAUCGAACAGGAUUAGAUACCCCUGUAGUC